AGUCGAGCGGUAGCACAGAGAGCUUGCUCUCGGGUGACGAGCGGCGGACGGGUGAGUAAUGUCUGGGAAACUGCCUGAUGGAGGGGGAUAACUACUGGAAACGGUAGCUAAUACCGCAUAACGUCGCAAGACCAAAGUGGGGGACCUUCGGGCCUCAUGCCAUCAGAUGUGCCCAGAUGGGAUUAGCUAGUAGGUGGGGUAAUGGCUCACCUAGGCGACGAUCCCUAGCUGGUCUGAGAGGAUGACCAGCCACACUGGAACUGAGACACGGUCCAGACUCCUACGGGAGGCAGCAGUGGGGAAUAUUGCACAAUGGGCGCAAGCCUGAUGCAGCCAUGCCGCGUGUAUGAAGAAGGCCUUCGGGUUGUAAAGUACUUUCAGCGAGGAGGAAGGCGUUAAGGUUAAUAACCUUGGCGAUUGACGUUACUCGCAGAAGAAGCACCGGCUAACUCCGUGCCAGCAGCCGCGGUAAUACGGAGGGUGCAAGCGUUAAUCGGAAUUACUGGGCGUAAAGCGCACGCAGGCGGUCUGUCAAGUCGGAUGUGAAAUCCCCGGGCUCAACCUGGGAACUGCAUUCGAAACUGGCAGGCUAGAGUCUUGUAGAGGGGGGUAGAAUUCCAGGUGUAGCGGUGAAAUGCGUAGAGAUCUGGAGGAAUACCGGUGGCGAAGGCGGCCCCCUGGACAAAGACUGACGCUCAGGUGCGAAAGCGUGGGGAGCAAACAGGAUUAGAUACCCUGGUAGUCCACGCCGUAAACGAUGUCGACUUGGAGGUUGUGCCCUUGAGGCGUGGCUUCCGGAGCUAACGCGUUAAGUCGACCGCCUGGGGAGUACGGCCGCAAGGUUAAAACUCAAAUGAAUUGACGGGGGCCCGCACAAGCGGUGGAGCAUGUGGUUUAAUUCGAUGCAACGCGAAGAACCUUACCUACUCUUGACAUCCAGAGAACUUAGCAGAGAUGCUUUGGUGCCUUCGGGAACUCUGAGACAGGUGCUGCAUGGCUGUCGUCAGCUCGUGUUGUGAAAUGUUGGGUUAAGUCCCGCAACGAGCGCAACCCUUAUCCUUUGUUGCCAGCGGUCCGGCCGGGAACUCAAAGGAGACUGCCAGUGAUAAACUGGAGGAAGGUGGGGAUGACGUCAAGUCAUCAUGGCCCUUACGAGUAGGGCUACACACGUGCUACAAUGGCAUAUACAAAGAGAAGCGACCUCGCGAGAGCAAGCGGACCUCAUAAAGUAUGUCGUAGUCCGGAUUGGAGUCUGCAACUCGACUCCAUGAAGUCGGAAUCGCUAGUAAUCGUAGAUCAGAAUGCUACGGUGAAUACGUUCCCGGGCCUUGUACACACCGCCCGUCACACCAUGGGAGUGGGUUGCAAAAGAAGUAGGUAGCUUAACCUU
rnacentral:rRNA from 1 species